rnacentral:rRNA from 1 species
UACAGAGGGGGCAAGCGUUAUUCGGAAUUACUGGGCGUAAAGGGCUCGUAGGCGGCCAACUAAGCCAGACGUGAAAUCCCUCAGCUUAACUGGGGAACUGCGUCUGAUACUGGAUGGCUUGGAUUCGGGAGAGGAAUGCGGAAUUCCUGGUGUAGCGGUGAAAUGCGUAGAUAUCAGGAGGAACACCUGUGGUGUAGACGGCUUUCUGGACCAUUGCUGACGCUGAGACACGAAAGCGUGGGUAGCAAACAGG